rnacentral:rRNA from 1 species
GAUGAACGCUGGCGGCGUGCUUAACACAUGCAAGUCGAACGGAGUACCCCUGAAGGAGUUUUCGGACAACUGAUGGGACUACUUAGUGGCGGACGGGUGAGUAACGCGUGAGUAACCUGCCUUGGAGUGGGGAAUAACAGCUGGAAACAGCUGCUAAUACCGCAUAAUAUAUCUGUGUCGCAUGGCAGUGGAUAUCAAAGAUUUAUCGCUCUGAGAUGGACUCGCGUCUGAUUAGCUAGUUGGCGGGGUAACGGCCCACCAAGGCGACGAUCAGUAGCCGGACUGAGAGGUUGGCCGGCCACAUUGGGACUGAGACACGGCCCAGACUCCUACGGGAGGCAGCAGUGGGGAAUAUUGGGCGAUGGGCGCAAGCCUGACCCAGCAACGCCGCGUGAAGGAAGAAGGCUUUCGGGUUGUAAACUUCUUUUCUCAGGGACGAAGCAAGUGACGGUACCUGAGGAAUAAGCCACGGCUAACUACGUGCCAGCAGCCGCGGUAAUACGUAGGUGGCAAGCGUUAUCCGGAUUUACUGGGUGUAAAGGGCGUGUAGGCGGGACUGCAAGUCAGAUGUGAAAACCACGGGCUCAACCUGUGGCCUGCAUUUGAAACUGUAGUUCUUGAGUACUGGAGAGGCAGACGGAAUUCCUAGUGUAGCGGUGAAAUGCGUAGAUAUUAGGAGGAACACCAGUGGCGAAGGCGGUCUGCUGGACAGCAACUGACGCUGAGGCGCGAAAGCGUGGGGAGCAAACAGGAUUAGAUACCCUGGUAGUCCACGCUGUAAACGAUGGAUACUAGGUGUGGGGGGACUGACCCCCUCCGUGCCGCAGUUAACACAAUAAGUAUCCCACCUGGGGAGUACGAUCGCAAGGUUGAAACUCAAAGGAAUUGACGGGGGCCCGCACAAGCGGUGGAGUAUGUGGUUUAAUUCGAAGCAACGCGAAGAACCUUACCAGGGCUUGACAUCCCGGUGACCGCUGUAGAGAUACAGUUUUCCCUUCGGGGACACUGGUGACAGGUGGUGCAUGGUUGUCGUCAGCUCGUGUCGUGAGAUGUUGGGUUAAGUCCCGCAACGAGCGCAACCCUUAUUGUUAGUUGCUACGCAAGAGCACUCUAGCGAGACUGCCGUUGACAAAACGGAGGAAGGUGGGGACGACGUCAAAUCAUCAUGCCCCUUAUGUCCUGGGCCACACACGUACUACAAUGGUGGUCAACAGAGGGAAGCAAUACCGCGAGGUGGAGCAAAUCCCUAAAAGCCAUCCCAGUUCGGAUCGCAGGCUGCAACCCGCCUGCGUGAAGUUGGAAUCGCUAGUAAUCGCGGAUCAGCAUGCCGCGGUGAAUACGUUCCCGGGCCU